GAUGAAGAACGUAGUGAAAUGCGAUAAGUAAUGUGAAUUGCAGAAUUCAGUGAAUCAUCGAAUCUUUGAACGCACAUUGCGCCCGCCAGUAUUCUGGCGGGCAUGCCUGUUCGAGCGUCAUUUCAACCAUCAAGCCCCCGGCUUGUGUUGGGGACCUGCGGCUGCCGCAGGCCCUGAAAAGCAGUGGCGGGCUCGCUGUCACACAGAGCGUAGUAGCAUACAUCUCGCUCUGGGCGUGCUGCGGGUUCCGGCCGUUAAACCACCUUCAUAACCCAAGGUUGACCUCGGAUCAGGUAGGAAGACCCGCUGAACUUAAGCAUAUCAAUAAGCGGAGGA
rnacentral:misc_RNA from 1 species